CACGGCUCCAUUCUGAGCAGUCACAAGAGGCCAACUGGAGGGGCAGGUUGCUUGGCAGCCGCCACAAAGGGGGCAGAUGAGAGAAGCUGUCUGUUGUCAUGGCGACCCCAUCUCUGCUCUGGGCUUCCUGUGCCCAGAGGCCUGCUGGUUUUUGUGAUCUGUCAUUGGAGAGAGAUGGGUCAGCAGAGGAAAAAGA